rnacentral:rRNA from 1 species
CCUACGGGUGGCAGCAGUAGGGAAUAUUGCUCAAUGGGGGAAACCCUGAAGCAGCAACGCCGCGUGGAGGAUGAAGGUUUUCGGAUUGUAAACUCCUUUUGUUAGAGAAGAUAAUGACGGUAUCUAACGAAUAAGCACCGGCUAACUCCGUGCCAGCAGCCGCGGUAAUACGGAGGGGGCAACCGUUAUCCGGAAUCACUGGGCAGAAAGCGCGCGUAGGGGGGAUAGCAAGUCAGAUGUGAAUGCCUAGGGCUUAACCAUAGAACUGCAUUUGAAACUGUUAUUCUAGAGUAUGGGAGAGGUAGGUGGAAUUCUUGGUGUAGGGGUAAAAUCCGUAGAGAUCAAGAGGAAUACUCAUUGCGAAGGCGACCUGCUAGAACAUAACUGACGCUGAUGCGCGAAAGCGUGGGGAGCAAACAGGAUUAGAUACCCUUGUAGUC